rnacentral:rRNA from 1 species
UACGGGGGGACAAGCGUUGUUCGGAAUUACUGGGCGUAAAGGGCGCGUAGGCGGCCUGCUAAGUCGAACGUGAAAUCCCCGGGCUCAACCCGGGAACUGCGUCCGAUACUGGCAGGCUUGAAUCCGGGAGAGGGAUGCGGAAUUCCAGGUGUAGCGGUGAAAUGCGUAGAUAUCUGGAGGAACACCGGUGGCGAAGGCGGCAUCCUGGACCGGCAUUGACGCUGAGGCGCGAAAGCCAGGGGAGCAAACGGG